GCAACCGUGGUGAUGUGGAAGAUCCUCCAGCUGCCCUGUGUGCCACAUGUAGUCACCGUGUGUUUCCCCUGCCUCUUUGUGCAUCUGCUCUUCCAAGUGCUCUUCAGCACUCUGGAUAUGCCAGAGGAGGUCGAUACCUUCUGGAAGCCAGUGCUCCCAGCGUGACCUGGGCUUUGCUCUGCGCACAGGUUUGCAGAGCAGACCCUGAAGGCCCUGCUCUGCCGACUGCACUAUGAGGAUGUGGUGGUGGCCAUGGAAGACAAGGGUGGCUGGGACACACUGCUCUGUGCUGACACCCACCACUGUGCUGUGGGCGUGCUGGCCAGGUGAGACCCCCUGCUCCCCAGCUGUCCCCGGCAUGUGUGCCCUGUGCCCCAGGUGCCCCACACAGUCCCCGUGGCCGUGGGCCAGAAGCCCUUGUCACCAAGGGACGGCCAAGGAGGCUGCAAAAGGCUGGGAGAGGAGCGUGCCCAAGAGCAGCAACCUCCCAGAGGGCUCAGCUGCCCCUUGCAGGGUGCUGGAGAAAGGCCAGACCUCUGGGAGGCAGUCCUGGGAGAGGUUUGCCCCCGCUGGCUCAGGGGUUUGGCUCCUAUUUCCUCCUGUCAGAGAAAUGCGCCGCGCAUCCGAAGCCGUGUGUUCCGCGAUUGCAUUCCAGCUGCUCGGGCUGCUCAGCAAAGACACGCCAUGCCGGGAUUUGGCCGCCCUGGCGUUCCUUGUGGAGGUGAGCCUGAAGGCCAGCGCUGCCUCGCUCAGCUGCCUCCCGGCUCUCUGCCCUCUCUUGGCCGCAGUGCCUGGGACGGAGCCCGCGCCCUGUGCUGCUGCCUGGGCCCGGCCCUGUGCGGUUCUGGGCUCCCGCCGGCCGCUCCCCCGUCACUGCCCUGUGCCUUUCAGGUCCUGGAGCGCCUGAACCUGAGUGAAUGCCGUGACAGCGUCCUGGAGUUCUUGUCAAAGAACCUGCAGAGCGAGUGCAGGGGGAGGCGUCGCUUGGCACUCAGAGGCCUCGUGGUGCUCGGCACCACCAGUGCCUCGAUGGCCAGAAGGAUGUGGAGCCUGCAUGAAAGGCUCGUGGAGCUCCUGCAGGAAAAUGACGGCGUCAUGCUCAGGAUGACCACGGUUCUCCUCAGAGCUGUAUUUCUCUGCAAUGGUGCCCCAAUAACCAGCGCCCUCGCCCUGCAGCUGGCUGGGUCUUUCUUCCUUCCUUUCAUACAGGAGGAUAGCCAGGUGCAGUUGAGCUCCAUGUUUAUCUUCCGAGACAUGCUGGAUCGUUUUCCGGAAGAGGAAAAAAAGGCCCUGAAGGCACACGUGCGCCAGAGCCUGCUGCCACUCUCCUUCCACUGCCAUGAUGAGAACCAGCGAGUGGCAGAGGCUUCUCAGGAAACGCUGCUUUGUGCGGCCGAGUUCCUGAAGCAGAGGGAUCUCGAAAAGCUGCUGAAGAACCAGAAGCUGUGGAAGUUCACCGAGUGCCUGGUGGCAGAGGACAGCAGCAGCGUGGCCGAGCACCUGCGCCGGGCCCUGCCCUACCUGCAGAGCCCACAGGAGCCCCUGCGAGAGGCGGCCGUCAGGUUCAUGGGUGAGCCACGAGCCGGGCCAGGAGGCCGUGUGGGCACAGGGCUGGCAGCGCCGCUGGCAGGGAGCUGUGCCGCCGGGCCUGACAGGCUCUGUGUUCCCAGGGACGGCCGGGCGGUACCUGAGGGGGAGGAAGGAAGAGCUCCAGCUCAUCUCUGAGGGUGAGUGAGGGCAGCGGGCUGCCAGCGGGGGCUGGCGGGGAGCUGCGAGCCCUGCCCCGGCUGCGGAGGGCUCUGCUCCCUGUGCGGACCAGGGCCGGCGUGGGCAGAGCACACAGAGGUUUCAGGGCACCUGGGGGAUUCCUGGCCAGCAGCUUCGGGCUGAUCCAGCUGGUCCCUGCUCCCUGCUGGCCAUGGCCAGAGCCGGCUGGGAUGGCCCUGGCACAGAGUCCCCUCGGGUCCCCUCAGAUGUGGGAACUGACCAUGGCUCUGUUCCUCUCUCUUUCAGCCCUUGAAGGCAUGGCAAAUGACAUCAGUGUCCCCGUCGCAAGCCUGGCAGUUCAAACAUUGUACGUCCUCCAGGAAGCAGAGAGAGCUCCAUACUCCAUCUUUGACAACCUGCAUGAUCGGCUCCGCAGGGCAUGGAGGAGACGGCCUCGUCUGUCGGGGCUCGGCUGGCUGCGCUGCUGGAGCUCUGCAGAGAGCUGAUCCCAGAGGCUCUGUCUGCUGGGGCCGCCCGAGCCAGCAGGAAUGUUUCCUUUCUUUAAGAUUGUUCUUUUCUUUCUCUUUGUUUUACUUUAGCAUUGAAAUAUAGGAUGUGUUUUAAUAGACAGACUCCCAGGAUCUUUCUUUUGCUGCCCAGGUUCUGCAGGGCCUAGGGGAAGAGGGACAAAAGGGAUCCCUGGCUCAGCAAGCUGCCCAGGCAUGCAGGGUUGCAGGGAAAAUGGCCAGAAGCCCCUUGGCCUUUGGUGGUUCUGCCAAAGCCUUUGUGCUGCCCACAGAGCAGAUGGGCAGGGGCUGGAGCUGUGGGGAUCUCUGUGAGAGCGGUGCCUGGAGAUGGCCACAAGCCCUGUCCCAGGCAGGAAGCGCCAUCCGUGUCCUCCUGCCCGUGUGUUGCUGCCUGGAUUGCUGAGGGCUCCCAGGUGCCUCUGGAUGGGCUCCUCUGGAGCUCCUGUGGGGCUGCGGCGCUGCUGCCGGGCAGGUUGGCCGGGCUGGGGAGAGCCUGAGGGGACGGGGCCACGAAGGGAUGAGGGGCUGCGGAAGCCCUGACAGGACAAGGCAGUGGGAAGGCACGGGGGGGACGUGUGAGGGAGUGGGUAACGUUGGCUCGGGGAGGAAAGUGGGUUGGAGCCAAAGAGACCACUCACCCCGAUGUUCCUGUGGCAAACAGAGCACGUUUAUUCUCAAGCCCUUCCUUCUAAAGGGCCUUUGAAAAACCCAGUCUGGAUGAUUUCACUGGUCUGAUCUCUGUGCCCCUUCAGAUUCUGGCCUGGGGAAUGCCUGCAGCCUUGGGAGAGCUGUGAUGGGCCAGGCCCCUGUCAGUCAAACCAGGGCUGGUACAUUCACCCCGUACAAGCCAGCCUGCACGGUGACACGGCAACAGAGUGCGAGGCACAGCUGCGGGUGCUCCCCGUGAACCUCAGCUCUGGGACCACUGCCUGCCCCAAGCUUCAGGGGCUGCAGGGGGAGCCCGGCUGGGCUCUGAUCUGGGGCCAUCCUGCAGGGACAGCUGCACACAGCCUGCAGCUUUGAGAAUGGCAUUAGUGCCUAGGGUGGGGGGGAAGCUGCAAGUCCUUGACUGCUGUCUUGUGUUGCUGAGAAGAGGAAGGACAUCUUGGAACUGGGGAUGCUGUAUUUGAAGUCAAGGGGGCAACUUUGUGGUGGGGGAGCUGCGUGGGCCAAAAGGACGCAGGGGUGCCGGUCAAGAGCAGCUGAAGGUGGGCCAGUGUGUGGCCAGGUGGCCAAGAAGGCCAAGGAUGCCCUGGCCUGUGUCAGCAGCAGUGGGGCAGCAGGAGCAGGGCAGUGACCGUCCCCCUGGGCUGGGCAGCGCUGCGGCCAUGGCUGGGAGUGCUGUGUCCACUUGUGGGCCCCUCUGAAGCAGAAAGUCCUCGAGGGGCUGGAGCGUGUGCAGAGAAGGACACGGGAGCUGGGGAAGGCUGUGGAGCACAACGCCAAGGAGGAGGUGCUGAGGGAGCUUUAGCCUGGACAACGGGAGGCUUGUGAGGGACCUUCAGAUCCAUGGAUCCAUACAUGGCAGUGCUCACCACCAGGGCUGUUUCCCUGCCAGACAUGCCCUCACUGCAUCCAAGUGCUUUAGCCACCUGAGGAGGGGACACUUCCGACUUGUGGUUUGUUGGUUUGCUAGGAGGAGAAGCCCUGCUCAUUUUCCCUCUUUCCAGCAAGCAAAGAGGCGUCUGCGCAACCUUUCCUGCCCUUUUCGUGCACUGCAUGGGAUUCUGAUCCAGUUUGAGUUUUCCUUGUCUGCCGCAGCAAUAACAAAGUCCGUGCUGGCUAUCUCUGACUUUUCCAUUUCAUAGUUUUCAAGAGCUAAAAGCUGCAUUGUGCAGAGGCACCGCUGCUUGCUGAUAGCAGCCAGGGAGGACUAUCAAAUUCAUAGAGUUCAUCAAAUAGAGUUCUGUUGAGUUAACCCACUUUAAUCUGGUCAGAGUCACUUAGAAUCCCAUCGCUAACAGAGUUGCUGAUUUCUCCUUGGAAGUGGUAUUUGUGGAUCCGAGGAGGAACGAGGUUAUAAAUGAGAGGUAACAGCCUGUCCCUCAUGCUUCUCUCUUGCCGCAGAUGGCAGAAGGAACAGCGGUCUCUGCCCCGGCUCCCUCUGCUCCUGGAGAAGAAGCCAAAGAGGG
ensembl:lncRNA